AUGAGAGAAACCAUCCUGCACAUGCUGAGGUUGCAGGCUGGAGUACAAUGGCAUGAUUUCAGCUUACCACAACCUCAGCCUCCUGGGUUCAAGCAAUUCUCGAGACUCAGCCUCCUGAGUAGUUGGGAUUACAGGUGUGUGCCACCACACCCAGCUAAUUUUGUAUUUUUAGUAGAGAUGGGUGUCCGACCUACCCUCUGCGGGAGGACUGAGCUCGUUUGGAACAAAAACCGGACCGCAAGUUAGAAGAAAUUCCUUAAGUUCAGGGUUUAUUGAGAGGAAAGAGCCUCCGGGCGGACCAGCUGGGAAGAAGAGGAAAAUGGCCGUGCCGCUCAGAGGGGCAGGGUUCUUUUAUAGGGGGGCUGAAGGACUGAGGGAGAGAGCUGAGGUGGUGGGCAACGUUUGGUCAGUUUGAACCGCUGGGCGGGAAGCUGGGGAGAGCUGAUGAGGCAGAAGCCGGGCAGCGGGGAGCUGGGGAGUGCUGAUGAGGCAGAAGCCGGGCGGGAGGUGGCUGCGGCUGGGCAGGAAGGCUAGGGCGGUAUGUAGAGUGAGAGAUAAGGGAGCCUCUUUGUGGGGGAGGGAAAGAGAGAGAGCUUUCAAGGUAGGGGCAGAGUUUUCCAAACAUUCCCGACUCCUUAAAAGAAAAGAAAAAGAGGGGGUCAGGGGCGCCGGUUGUCUCUCUGGCUACUUCCUGCUGACAAGGGUCGACGGGGGGUUCUGAAGAGGUCUCUUUUCCUAAGGAGCCUGGGUGUUCGGGGAGAGGUCCGCUUCUAGCACUCGUUCAGGGUAGGGUUGGAGCAGCAUCUGGUGGAUGGUGACUCGAGUCAGUUCUUGAAAGCGCUGCUGUAGGAACUGUAGAAGGCAAGGAGCAAUAAGAUUAGGCAAACGGCUACUAGGGGCCCAAGCAACGGGGACAAGAGGGUAUACAUAGAGGAAGACCACCACGCUGUGGCUUCAGCCGAGAACUUCUGAUUCUGCAGGUUAGUUUUGAGUUUCUGGAGGCUCUCGAUUCGGGUUUCUACUAGGCCGGAUUCAUUGAUGUAGUAACAGCACUCUUCUUGUAGGAAGAUACAGGUCCCUCCUCGUUCAGCAGUGAGCAGGUCUAGGGCUCUUCGGUUCUGCAAGGCAACUUGGGCAACUGAGGUGAUCUGUCUUUGGAGAGAGGCUAAAGAUUCUGUAGAAUUGUCGAUGGCGGCCUGAAAUUGAGAGGUGAGUCGUGCUAGAGCCUGAUGGGAGUGGGCUAGGGCUCCUCCCCCUAGUCCGGCUCCUAUGGCUGAUCCGGCGAGAGAGAGACCUACUAUGAGGGGUAAAAAGGCGGCCCGUCAUACACGAUGAUGUAUGAAUUGUUGUUGGAACUCUGCUGGGGAGUAAAUGGUUAAUCGGGGUACGAGGGUUACUGGUAAGCAUAGGCUGCGGGAGUGUGUAGAGGGGUUGAGGGUUUUAAAAAGUGUUCUGUUGCACCAUCGUGUUCUCGGAGAAGAGCUCGGAGAAGGGUGAAAUAGGGCAGGUAGGUAGAUAGAGGAGGGGGGUCUGGUGGUAGGGGGGAGGAGAGUAAGAAGGGCCGUCCGUAGAGCAGCUCAAAAGGGCUGAGUUGUGAGGGGCCCCGGGGGCUUGCUCGGAGCCUUGUCAAAGCGAUAGGAAGUAGGGUAACCUAGGACUGGCGGAGUUCGAAGGCAAGUUUUGUUAGGUGUUCUUUGAUGAGGCCGUUGGCCUGUUCUACUUUACCCGAGGAUUGGGGAUGGUAGGCUGCAUGCAGUUUCCACUGAAUCCCUAAGGAUGUGGAAACAGCAGUGGUAAUCUUAGAAAUAAAGGCAGGUCCGUUGUCUGACUGGAUGGUAGA
rnacentral:lncRNA from 13 species